AUGGGGAAAACAGAAAGAACCUGGCAGUGGAGCAGUACUAGUCCAUGUUCAAUAGCACUUCACAUUGAGAGGAGCCGGCAGCUGUGGGGAGAGCCCAUGCUCAGUUUUCCAUAUGGGAAUGGAAAAGUGCUGCGGGGAUGUCGGGAUCACUGCACUCUUUUUACCCGGACAGCAGAUGGCAUCGAAGCUCCAGAAACGUCACCUCUCUCUCGGACCCUGUUGAGGUUCUUUUUGGCUUCGACAUGUUGGUGAAAACAGGAUUAUUUUAGUAGGCUCCCAUUUGGCUUGCUGUUAACGUAAAAGAACCUUUUGAUAGUAGUAUAUGUACACACUUUUAAAAUUUGGUGAUCUUUCUCCUGAAGCUUAACUUACUUUUCUCCUUCAGGGUACUUACAGGAAAUUUAAGAAUUUGUCUUAUAAUGCUUUUAAGUGAGGAUUCAUUUUGUUUCUCAUUUAAGUCUGAGUUCCCGAGUUCAUUUUUUAGAAUAAUAUCUCUUCUCCAGAAGUCUGGUUAUUGUGAAUGCUGACUUGGGUAAAAGAGAAAAUGUCAAUCAAAUCUCUUAAAGUAAUAUUAUUUCUAAAUUGUAUUGCUUCCUGAUGUUAGACUUCACAGUUUAUGUACAGCAUUCAACAACUUAUGAAUACUCAGUGCAAAACUGCUGCUUACAUGUCUUAGAAAAACUAAUACAAAAAGCCCAUUGUGAAUAUAUAAAAUUUAAUUAAUUCAGUUGCAAAGUUGACUCUGAUUUCAAUACUUUGUUAGAAGAAAGGAAUUUGUAAUUAUAACUUCAGUUCUUAUGAAAAGUAAAGUGUAACCCAUUUGCUCUUUCAUUUCCAGGAUGGCAAAAGACAGCUGAUUGUCUGUGUCUAAUCCCACAUACUCUAGUCUUCACAGGAAGUGUCUCAUGCCACUUUAUUUCCUAGGAAGCAAUAUGUGCAAACAGAACAGAAAAAGCAUUAAUUUAGUAAGGUUUUUUCCUGUUGUUCUUCUUUUUAACAAAACUGUUUUAAUACUGAAAGCAACGACAGGAAUAUUAAAUUACACAUGAGGAGGGAGUCUAAAUAAUUCUCUUAGUUCAACAGAAGUUAUGUAUGGUAGAAUAUUUUUCUUCAGAAAUACAGAAAAUAGUCCUUUAAGGGAAAAAAAAGAAAAAGUAUUGAGCCAUUUAUCUGAUUAAAAUAUUUAUGGAUGAAAUAAAUGUAGCUCAUCCCUCA
rnacentral:lncRNA from 1 species